AUUGCCAUGGUUAUCCUGGCCCCCUUUCUUUCACCACACACCGACUACGAACAGCAUCAGCGGGGCCCGAGGCGGGCGUGGCACGGAGAGAUUGAAUAGUGUGAAGCAGACUGACAUCUCCUUGAAUAUGAUUUCCAAGCAUCUGAACUUUCCCAAGGAACAGUGGAAGAGGUGUAAAGACAUUGACUGCUAUUGCAGGUGUCCCAAAAAGAGUAAUUCCAUGAAAUACUCCUCAGUGUUGUUGGGAACAUGAGGAGAUGUUCCUGAUGCAGGUGUCCCAAAAAGAGUAAUUCCAUGAAAUACUCCUCAGUGUUGUUCGGAACAUGAGGAGAUGUUCCUGACACAUCACCUUUUCUCAGUUAAGUUCCUGCUACCUCCACUGUGAUGAUGAGCUGCGUUGAUACGUUCACCUGGUAGGUUUUAACCAAGAGUCAAAUACAAGAUAUUGGCAGCAACUUGUAAAUCUGCUGGGAAAGUUAUGAACACCUCUCCCUCUCGUAUGGCAAAAUACCUUGUCUUAUACUGUAAUGAUACACGGUUAUGUGUAAAAAGGAACCAGUUGCUGAUAUGAAAGCUAAACUUGAAUAGGCAAGCCUGAGACAGUUUCAGGAUUAAAAACAGGUUGUCAGCAAAACUGUGAUUUUAAAAUGAAUUUUAUGUUUCUUGGUCAUGGACCACCACUGAGUGCAUGAAAAUUCAUUUAUGUGCCUGUCAAAUCCAAUCUCAUCUUCGUGGAAUUGGAGUUGAAUAGUGUUGGUUUUCUCUUUACCUGAUCUGUUAAUCACAUGAUUGAUUUCAUAAGGCCAAUAAAAGCAGUGUCUCAUAAA